rnacentral:rRNA from 1 species
AGUGAGAGUCGAGCGGACGAGUGGAGCUUGCUCCAUGAUUCAGCGGCGGACGGGUGAGUAAUGCCUAGGAAUCUGCCUGGUAGUGGGGGACAACGUUUCGAAAGGAACGCUAAUACCGCAUACGUCCUACGGGAGAAAGUGGGGGAUCUUCGGACCUCACGCUAUCAGAUGAGCCUAGGUCGGAUUAGCUAGUUGGUGAGGUAAAGGCUCACCAAGGCGACGAUCCGUAACUGGUCUGAGAGGAUGAUCAGUCACACUGGAACUGAGCCACAUCAAACUCUAAUACGGGAGGCAGCAGUGGGGAAUAUUGGACAAUGGGCGAAAGCCUGAUCCAGCCAUGCCGCGUGUGUGAAGAAGGUCUUCGGAUUGUAAAGCACUUUAAGUUGGGAGGAAGGGCAGUAAGUUAAUACCUUGCUGUUUUGACGUUACCAACAGAAUAAGCACCGGCUAACUUCGUGCCAGCAGCCGCGGUAAUACGAAGGGUGCAAGCGUUAAUCGGAAUUACUGGGCGUAAAGCGCGCGUAGGUGGUUCGUUAAGUUGGAUGUGAAGCUCCGGGCUCAACCUGGAACUGCAUCCAAACUGGCGAGCUAGAGUAUGCAGAGG